ACUGGGCGUGUAUUCCAAGGAAUGCUAGCUUCAUCAGCCCUACUAAAAGAUGUGACACCAUGACCAAGCCUAUUCGACAUUUUGGCAAAGAGCGUUAUUUUCCAUCCAGGAAACCGUCAGUAAAGUCAAGUGUGUCAAUCUUUCAAACAUGUUUUUAUUAUAUCAAACUUCAUCCGUAAGAUGCAAUUUGAACCCACGUCCUCGGGUGAAUGUAUAUAUUCGUGCCUGUAUCGGGUAAAUUAGCCCCCUCAGCUUGCCUGUUAAAUGCAUGACCGUCUUCAAUACCUUUUGUAAUAUGAGACAUCCACCCAAAGAUGUGCGCAUUUCGUCAGAAAUCGGAUUAUUUUAGAUUAUUCUUUAGUGGAAAACAAUGAACAAUAUUACUAUGGAAUGAAAA